rnacentral:rRNA from 1 species
CUGGCGGCGUGCCUAAUACAUGCAAGUCGAGCGGACCGACGGGAGCUUGCUCCCUUAGGUCAGCGGCGGACGGGUGAGUAACACGUGGGUAACCUGCCUGUAAGACUGGGAUAACUCCGGGAAACCGGGGCUAAUACCGGAUGCUUGAUUGAACCGCAUGGUUCAAUCAUAAAAGGUGGCUUUUAGCUACCACUUACAGAUGGACCCGCGGCGCAUUAGCUAGUUGGUGAGGUAACGGCUCACCAAGGCGACGAUGCGUAGCCGACCUGAGAGGGUGAUCGGCCACACUGGGACUGAGACACGGCCCAG